UCCUUAUUUGCCUUUGAUUGUUCACCAUUGUACUAAUAUAACCGACCUUCCCAGGAAACAAUUUAGGGAAAUCCUAAUUCCAGAAACGGACUCGCCGGAGGAAUUGUCGCAGGCUCGCAGCCCUCGCUGAAGAUUGGUUGAAGCUGUGAAGCUGUUGAAAGGAGAGAGACAAGCAACGCAAAACUGGUGGCGAAGAUUUGUGAAGGAGCAGAUCUCGCCUCACUUUUCCCUAAGUUCACGAUAACUCGUACUUUCUCACUGAUCGUUGCAUAGUCUGCGGUCGUCGUUAGGGUUCAAGACGACGUUCGUAAUCUGUUGCUUGAUCGCCUUCUCAUGACUGUCCUCGUUUCUGUCUUUAGGGUUUACAGGCAUGACUCGUACGCUCUUACUCCUUGCUGUGUAGUUUGCGGUUGUUAGGGUAUACUAUGCACUCGCUAAUCGGUGUCGUGAUGGCCUUCUCAUGUCUGCUUUGCAGUUUUUUUAAAGUUUCUUGAUCGUCUCCACAUGACUAGUGACUGUCUGCAAAACAUGCACCCUUGAUCUUUCAAAGUCUUUUGAGAAGAAAAUCUUGGUACUUUGAAUAAUGUAUAUAGAUUGAUAAAUGGGGUAUUUAGUUGUCAAUAGUUAAUCAUUCUGUGUUACUACUAUUUUUUGUUAAGACUUUUACACAAAUACCUUGUAGUUGUAUCCUGCUAACAAAUUUCUCAUAUCUUUUUACAAAGACUUUUUGGUAGCCAACAAUGCAUCCUUAUUAUUGUGUUGGGAAUGAGAGAACAAAAUUAUUAGGAAACUGGUGGCAAAUAAAAUACCUUGUAUUUACAUUCAAAAUGUCUAGAUUCUUGAGUUUUUUACUUUAAACUAAUAAUAAUUAGAAUAUGUUCAGUUGAAUAUCUAGAUAUCCACAUUUGAAAGACUUAAAAGUAUGAUACACUUUUCCAGUCGAAUUGAUGAGGCAUUAGUUGGGUAUUUGUGCAAUGGUUCAAUUAUUUUGUACCACCAAAGCACCAAACUAACUAAACUUGCUGUGGAGAUUUUAUUUGGUUCAGCUUUGGUGACUUUCAAUUAUUGUUUUAGAGAGUAUUUGAGGGAAUAAAUUUUGGGGAAGGCAAAUUUAAUAUCAGUAACUCAGUAAGGCAUGACAGUUAUGCUCUCCUGGGUAUCAAGUAUUCUUUGCAUUAGUAUAGCUUAGAGUUGUGGAACUUGUUUUUAUCUAUAUGGUUUUUGUGUAGGAGCUUUCCUUAAAAUAGCCUCCUGAUUUGAAUGUUGUUUAUAAUAUUGAUCAUUUUCUUCAGAGUCUCAAUUUUCAAAUGUAACAGUCAUUUACUUGUAACAUAAAUAUGUAGAAGGAGAUAAGGAUAACUGUUUGGACUAUUGCACCAAAUAGAUUCUCUGCUCGUUCAGACAGUUGUUCAAACCUAUUCAAUUCUUACUAAAAUUCAGAGCACUUCUUUAUCUCCCAACAUUGAGAAUCAUUCUCCUUUUUACACACCACCUUGGUGCUCAAAUUAUUCUUUUUUCCAUUCAAAAAACAGAGAAUCGCUGACCCAAACUCUCUAACCCUACCUAACAUAAUCUCGCUCCCUCUUCUAUGCAUUAAAAGUUAAUUGUCUCACCUAUGCAAUAAACACUUGCUUUGACUCUAAAAACUUGCAUUAUUCUUCAUGCAUAUUCUGUCAUGCUCAGACUAAAUUUAGAUCAAAUUUUUGCUGCAUUUGCCUAACCUAUUACUCUAUCAAUUUUCUCCAUAAUGCUUUGAACCUGUACUUUGAGAUAACUCCCUGUAUUCUUUACCCUUACCUGAAAACCAAAUUGUAACAUGUUCCGAAAUAAGUUUGUUGAAACCAUAACAGUUUUAAGACUAAAUAAAUGAGAAUCCCUUUUCGAAGAGGUUGUUAAUUUAAUACUAAAUCAU